GCGGCUCUGAUACCAAGCAUUUCGGCACAUCGACUUAGAUCAAGCGGUUUACCUUGUAUUACCAGCCCAUAGAUAAGAUCCUUUGGCAACACACAACAACCUGGUACAGAAAACAACCGAUUUAUUGAUCUCUCACGGAUAUAAAGGUUUGAUUAUUUCAUGAUAGGCGAGGCCGAGUGGCACACACAGUGCGGAUGCACUUAUGUACAUUUUUAUUAAACAUCUCAGGGGCCUCGAUGAUAAAGCAAACUACUACAUGACAGCGGAACAACGAAGUAGUGGAACACCACUCCACGAGAACACUACUCAGACAAGGCCUAGACUGCAUCAUACAGACUGCGUCAUACCGACUGACAUCAACGCCUUGCACGACUUCUCCUGCAUCUGGCAUGAUAAGCGAGGUGAGGACUUUGAAUGUACUCACAAGCUCACAAGAAACAAAGAAAACAUGUCAAACAAUAACAAGACAUUUAAUAGGUUAAUGAAUGAGUAUGAACAUGAUACUAUCAUGGAUGAUGUGCAUGUGAACUCUAUCACGGUCCCUCCGACCAACUUACCAUCUUGGGAUUACCUUGUAACCAUCAUCAACAUCUUACCAUCGUGAUCCUCAAACGAUCACCAUGUGCCAACUCAGAGUUGUUAAGUGUGUCGGAUAUUUUUUAUUGUUGACCCAUAAUGUGACCUACGAUGAAGAGUGUCCAUAUCCGAGGGCGCGGCUAUGAUAGAUUGUAUACUCUUCCGAGGAUAGUACAAUGUACCCGCACCACAAAAAUCAUGGCCGCAUGCUCCCAUUCGGGUGGACCAACGACAUUCCGACAAAACAAAUCUAUUAGAUGACACUCUCUCGGCCACUCUCACAAACUCUCCUUUUGUCUAUGCCACGGGUGGCCCUGUUGUCAACUCAUGACAUCCGCCACCUUCGUGGCCACCGCCAUCGUGGAAAAACAAACUCAUCCCAAAUGAGGACAUUAGUAUCGUACAACAAUGGGCACACAAGGUUAUGCCUGCCCACUAGGCUAGCGUAGCACAAGCGCAUAACCUUCCCUCAUUGGAGGAACUGAAGAGAGGCAUGACAAAAGAUCGCAUUAGGGCCUCCCAUCCAUGCAUGUGUUGUUGCACUGGUGAGUUCAAUUCGGUGGCACCAUGACCUGAUGAAUAGCUUGCUAAAGUUAAAUUAUCAUCCGAUUUAACUUGAAAAUGAAAAUGAUUCGAGUCAUAGUAUGUAGUGUGGUGCAUGGGAUCAUGAUAAUAAGGCAUCCAUCUUAAUGCUGACAAUAUGAAGAUAAGUAACUAAUGCAUCAAUCAUACUCAUGACAUGUAUCAUGAGCUCUAUAUGACUAGCAUAAAAAUAUGAAAUGAAAUGACUGGAAUAUAAAAAGUUUUAUAUAAUGAACCAUUUAAAUAAUUAUGCAUAUGGCAUGAAUUUAAUUCAAACAAACCAUUGCAAUUGCAAUGCCCUCUUUGCCAAUUAAUGUUGUCCCUUGCCUUAGUUUAGGGGAGUGUCACAAUACUCCUAGUCCUCUCAGGCAACUAGUUUAAUCUAAAACAUAAUUAAGAUACAAAAAGAAAAUGUCACAAAAGUCAUCUUAUUGCAACAAAAAUUUAAACAACAAGGAAAAUUCUCAAGCUUUUUAGCUAGAGAUUUAGCUCAAGACAAAACUAAUGCAAAAAAAAAUCAACUCAUUUGGACUUGUGGCUUAAAAGAUAAUGCUCGUCAAAGUUUUGGUCAAAAUAUAUGAUAAAAAUUAGAAAAACCAGAAGCGUUCAUAUCGAAGAUGUAUUCUCAGAAUAUGCUUCCACUUAGAAAACGGUUCAGGGAGAGAAGAGGGGCUGACACGGGGGUCCCACUAUUAGGGUUAAAGAGACACAGAGAGACGGUGAGAGAGAGGGGGGACAUGGCACGACAGCCUUGUCGUUGGUGGUUCUCCGGCACGGAGACUAUGGAAGUCGCUGGUGACAGAGUAGAUGGGUUCAGCACGUCCUGACGAACACGUGCGUACCUGAAAUAGUGACUGAGGUGGAUGGACGAUUGUUCAUGCUUCUUCUCCAGAGACGACAGGCAGUGGAGUUCGUUGGAGUGCGUGAUUCCUGCAAUGAUCCGAUGAACCAGUGGCACAGGCGUGUUUAGGAGAUUAACACUAUCUUGACGGGGGUAGAGUGCAAAGACGGAGGUGACUAGAGCAAGUGGAUGGCCGAGGGGAUCCGUAGACAAUUUCGGCGAUGAUCGGCAUGAGGAGGCCCUCCCGACCUUGCCGCGCUUCAGGAGAAUCGACUUAUGGCUAGAAGAGUCGAAUGAGAUGGCUAGAACGGCUCGGGGAUGGCCCUAUAUAUAGAAGGUGGGGAGACUAAGUGUUGUUCUCCACCAGAGUUGCAGGCACAUUAGGAGUGAGAAGAGCGUGGGCGAGUCUUGGAGAAGAAAUAGAUCAAUGUAGAGAAGAUAUGCGUGUAUGCGACCACUGUGGAGCGCACUAAG
rnacentral:lncRNA from 1 species